rnacentral:sRNA from 1 species
GAAACCGAGCGCGUUGAAGAACCGCGCAUCGGUGAACAUCCGCGUA